CUUUUUUUUUUUUUUUUUUUUUUUAAGACAAAAAAAAUAAUUUGUGCAAAUAUUUCUCUCAUAUGCAAUGUCAUCACUGAGAGAAAGGUUGUGUCAUAGAGAGCAGUGGCAGAGCUCUGCUAAGUAGGACCACAAUGUUCAGGCAAGCAAUGUAUACCCCCCUAUACCCCCUCUGCCCAUACAUCCAUGUGUGCACAUAUUCUUGUUUCAUUCAGAUCCACCAGUACUUAUUUGACUUUGAUGACAAAUGAAUGUUGUGGAAAAAUAAAUGUAAAUAUUAGAAA